rnacentral:rRNA from 1 species
AUACGAUCACCGAAGUUAAGCAAUAUCGAGUCUGGUCAGUACCUAGAUGGGUGAACGUUUGGGAAUACCAGGUGCUGUAAG